rnacentral:rRNA from 1 species
UUAAGUUAUUAAGGGCGCACGGUGGAUGCCUUGGCACUAGAAGCCGAUGAAGGACGUUACUAACGACGAUAUGCUUUGGGGAGCUGUAAGUAAGCUUUGAUCCAGAGAUUUCCGAAUGGGGAAACCCAGCAUGAGUUAUGUCAUGUUAUCGAUAUGUGAAUACAUAGCAUAUCAGAAGGCACACCCGGAGAACUGAAACAUCUUAGUACCCGGAGGAAGAGAAAGAAAAUUCGAUUCCCUUAGUAGCGGCGAGCGAAACGGGAAGAGCCCAAACCAACAAGCUUGCUUGUUGGGGUUGUAGGACACUCUAUACGGAGUUACAAAGGACGACAUUAGACGAAUCAUCUGGAAAGAUGAAUCAAAGAAGGUAAUAAUCCUGUAGUCGAAAAUGUUGUCUCUCUUGAGUGGAUCCUGAGUACGACGGAGCACGUGAAAUUCCGUCGGAAUCUGGGAGGACCAUCUCCUAAGGCUAAAUACUCUCUAGUGACCGAUAGUGAACCAGUACCGUGAGGGAAAGGUGAAAAGCACCCCGGAAGGGGAGUGAAAUAGAACCUGAAACCGUGUGCUUACAAGUAGUCAGAGCCCGUUAAUGGGUGAUGGCGUGCCUUUUGUAGAAUGAACCGGCGAGUUACGAUUUGAUGCAAGGUUAAGCAGUAAAUGUGGAGCCGUAGCGAAAGCGAGUCUGAAUAGGGCGUUUAGUAUUUGGUCGUAGACCCGAAACCAGGUGAUCUACCCUUGGUCAGGUUGAAGUUCAGGUAACACUGAAUGGAGGACCGAACCGACUUACGUUGAAAAGUGAGCGGAUGAACUGAGGGUAGCGGAGAAAUUCCAAUCGAACCUGGAGAUAGCUGGUUCUCUCCGAAAUAGCUUUAGGGCUAGCCUCAAGUGAUGAUUAUUGGAGGUAGAGCACUGUUUGGACGAGGGGCCCCUCUCGGGUUACCGAAUUCAGACAAACUCCGAAUGCCAAUUAAUUUAACUUGGGAGUCAGAACAUGGGUGAUAAGGUCCGUGUUCGAAAGGGAAACAGCCCAGACCACCAGCUAAGGUCCCAAAAUAUAUGUUAAGUGGAAAAGGAUGUGGCGUUGCCCAGACAACUAGGAUGUUGGCUUAGAAGCAGCCAUCAUUUAAAGAGUGCGUAAUAGCUCACUAGUCGAGUGACACUGCGCCGAAAAUGUACCGGGGCUAAACAUAUUACCGAAGCUGUGGAUUGUCCUUUGGACAAUGGUAGGAGAGCGUUCUAAGGGCGUUGAAGCAUGAUCGUAAGGACAUGUGGAGCGCUUAGAAGUGAGAAUGCCGGUGUGAGUAGCGAAAGACGGGUGAGAAUCCCGUCCACCGAUUGACUAAGGUUUCCAGAGGAAGGCUCGUCCGCUCUGGGUUAGUCGGGUCCUAAGCUGAGGCCGACAGGCGUAGGCGAUGGAUAACAGGUUGAUAUUCCUGUACCACCUAUAAUCGUUUUAAUCGAUGGGGGGACGCAGUAGGAUAGGCGAAGCGUGCGAUUGGAUUGCACGUCUAAGCAGUAAGGCUGAGUAUUAGGCAAAUCCGGUACUCGUUAAGGCUGAGCUGUGAUGGGGAGAAGACAUUGUGUCUUCGAGUCGUUGAUUUCACACUGCCGAGAAAAGCCUCUAGAUAGAAAAUAGGUGCCCGUACCGCAAACCGACACAGGUAGUCAAGAUGAGAAUUCUAAGGUGAGCGAGCGAACUCUCGUUAAGGAACUCGGCAAAAUGACCCCGUAACUUCGGGAGAAGGGGUGCUCUUUAGGGUUAACGCCCAGAAGAGCCGCAGUGAAUAGGCCCAAGCGACUGUUUAUCAAAAACACAGGUCUCUGCUAAACCGUAAGGUGAUGUAUAGGGGCUGACGCCUGCCCGGUGCUGGAAGGUUAAGAGGAGUGGUUAGCUUCUGCGAAGCUACGAAUCGAAGCCCCAGUAAACGGCGGCCGUAACUAUAACGGUCCUAAGGUAGCGAAAUUCCUUGUCGGGUAAGUUCCGACCCGCACGAAAGGCGUAACGAUUUGGGCACUGUCUCAACGAGAGACUCGGUGAAAUCAUAGUACCUGUGAAGAUGCAGGUUACCCGCGACAGGACGGAAAGACCCCGUGGAGCUUUACUGUAGCCUGAUAUUGAAAUUCGGCACAGCUUGUACAGGAUAGGUAGGAGCCUUUGAAACGUGAGCGCUAGCUUACGUGGAGGCGCUGGUGGGAUACUACCCUAGCUGUGUUGGCUUUCUAACCUGCACCACUUAUCGUGGUGGGAGACAGUGUCAGGCGGGCAGUUUGACUGGGGCGGUCGCCUCCUAAAAGGUAACGGAGGCGCUCAAAGGUUCCCUCAGAAUGGUUGGAAAUCAUUCAUAGAGUGUAAAGGCAUAAGGGAGCUUGACUGCGAGACCUACAAGUCGAGCAGGGUCGAAAGACGGACUUAGUGAUCCGGUGGUUCCGCAUGGAAGGGCCAUCGCUCAACGGAUAAAAGCUACCCCGGGGAUAACAGGCUUAUCUCCCCCAAGAGUUCACAUCGACGGGGAGGUUUGGCACCUCGAUGUCGGCUCAUCGCAUCCUGGGGCUGUAGUCGGUCCCAAGGGUUGGGCUGUUCGCCCAUUAAAGCGGUACGCGAGCUGGGUUCAGAACGUCGUGAGACAGUUCGGUCCCUAUCCGUCGUGGGCGUAGGAAAUUUGAGAGGAGCUGUCCUUAGUACGAGAGGACCGGGAUGGACAUACCUCUGGUGUACCAGUUGUCGUGCCAACGGCAUAGCUGGGUAGCUAUGUGUGGACGGGAUAAGUGCUGAAAGCAUCUAAGCAUGAAGCCCCCCUCAAGAUGAGAUUUCCCAACUUCGGUUAUAAGAUCCCUCAAAGAUGAUGAGGUUAAUAGGUUCGAGGUGGAAGCAUGGUGACAUGUGGAGCUGACGAAUACUAAUCGAUCGAAGACUUAAUCAA